GGAUGCGAUCAUACCAGCACUAAAGCACCGUAUCCCAUCAGAACUCCGAAGUUAAGCGUGCUUGGGUGAGAGUAGUACUAGGAUGGGUGACCUCCUGGGAAGUCCUCGUGUUGCAUUCC
rnacentral:rRNA from 1 species